AGCGAACGCUGGCGGCAGGCUUAACACAUGCAAGUCGAACGCCCCGCAAGGGGAGUGGCAGACGGGUGAGUAACACGUGGGAACGUACCCUUUGGUUCGGAAUAACUUGGGGAAACUCAAGCUAAUACCGGAUAAGCCCUUAUGGGGAAAGGUUUACUGCCGAAGGAUCGGCCCGCGUCUGAUUAGCUAGUUGGUGAGGUAAUGGCUCACCAAGGCGACGAUCAGUAGCUGGUGUGAGAGGAUGAUCAGCCAAACUGGGACUGAGACACGGCCCAGACUCCUACGGGAGGCAGCAGUGGGGAAUAUUGGACAAUGGGGGCAACCCUGAUCCAGCCAUGCCGCGUGAGUGAUGAAGGCCUUAGGGUUGUAAAGCUCUUUUACCCGGGACGAUAAUGACUGUACCGGGAGAAUAAGCCCCGGCUAACUUCGUGCCAGCAGCCGCAGUAA
rnacentral:rRNA from 1 species